CACGCGAAUCCAUUCACAGGCGUUGCUAUUUCGUUGCUAUUUCAUUGCAAUUUCUCGAAUCUUUACACUAAAAGUCUAAUCCUAUUCCACGUGUCUGCCCCCUAGCAUUUUUAGUUCUUACACUGGGAAUCGUUCAAAAACCGACCAAACGAUGUCAGAACCCGGAAAAUAUGAAUACAAAGUAUCAUUUUCUAGUUUUCCCCAACUACGAACCUGUCCACAAUCGUAUUCUUCCCGGAACAAAUUAAAUGAAUUUUCUUCUCGGCCGUCUCCCGUAGUUUACUCCGCCUACGAGUAAUUUACGCUGUAUGAUGUUCAACGAUCUCAACACUACUACUACUACUACUACCAAAUCUCAAAUU